GUAGCAUUAGCUCAGUUGGUUAGAGCACCUGACUGUUAAUCAGGGUGUCAUAGGUUCAAGUCCUGUAUGCUACG
rnacentral:tRNA from 1 species